GAGGUUGGCGACCCGGUCAAAAUGGUCAAGCCAGUCGUCGGCGUCCUCUGAAGCACUCCCGUGGAACGGAUUCGGCGUCCGGGUCUGAUUGACAACCACGUGCGAUGCUGCAGUAGCAGCAGGAGGAGGUUGGUUCGUCAUUCUACUUCGUUCGGGUAGCAGACCGUGCUGUGGCUGGAGUCCCUGGAGACGUCGGCUGGUACGUACGUGCACAGGGGUAAGCUCGGCCGAACUGCUCGCCGGGCUUAGGUCUGGGGUACGCUCCGGAGACCUUAACAUCGACCGUACCCCACACCUCCACCAGAAAUGUCACCCAGCUAGUACAGCUAGAAUAGAUGACCAGCAACAGAUAGGCAAAAACACGUCAGCCUUUAGUAAUGGCUGGACCUCGGAGAGCGCGCACGCAACCACGAACUUCGUCGUUCUUGCCUCAAGGGCCCAGUGUCAAUAUUAAAAUUUAAAAAAAAAGCUAAAAUUAAAUUCUGGAGCUUUAUGUGCCAAGACCAUGAUUUGAUUAUCAGGCACACCAUAGUGAGAGACCCCGGAUUAAUUUUGACCACUUGGGGUUCUUUAAUGUGCACCCAAUGCACGGUACAUAAGCAUUUUUGCAUUUCACCCCCAUUUGCUCGCAGGUUUUGCUCGCAUGCGCUGUUCGGUUUCUUACAACACCACCAGAUGGUGCUCGCCUCCUCAGCUUUAGGUUUUUCUCGCAUGCACUGCUGGGUUUCUUGCAACACCACCAGAUGGCACUAGCCUCCUGGGCUUUAGGUUUUGCACGCAUGCGCUGCUGGGUUUCUUACAACACCCACCAGAUGGCGCUCGCUUCCUGGGCUUUAGGUUUUGCACGCAUGCACUGCUGGGUUUCUUACAACACCACCAGAUUGUGCUCGCCUCCUGGGCUUUAGGUUUUGCACGCAUGCGCUGCUGGGUUUCUUACAACACCCACCAGAUGGCGCUCGCUUCCUGGGCUUUAGGUUUUGCACGCAUGCACUGCUGGGUUUCUUACAACACCCACCAGAAGGCACUCACUUCCUGGGCUUUAGGUUUUGCAGGCAUGCACUGUUGGGUUUCUUACAGCACCCACUAGAUGGUGCUCGCUUCCUGGGCUUUAGGUUUUGCACGCAUGCACUGCUGGGUUUCUUGCAACACCACCAGAUUGUGCUCGCCUCCUGGGCUUUAAGAACGGAGGCAUACAAAAAAAUGUGGGCAGUUUGCUCUAGUAGUGCAAGGCUGGGUGACAGCGGAGCUAGUUCAGGUUUGGCAACUCCCAUGGAUUUGCAGGCUUGGCAUUGGAAGUUCUCAGUGACGCGCAGGCCUGGAACCGAUUCCCGGCAGCACCGAGCAUUCAGUCGGCAACGUUUGUUGUCUCUGGCCCGAAACUCGGGAUCCUCGGCUCGGUGACGGAGUUUGUCAGUGGCGACCUCGGCGCGAUGGGCAGGAUCGGCUCUCCUUCGUCGAUUGUAGUCCCGCUGAGCCGCACGCCGAGCUUCCUUGUAGGUGGCUUCUUCCUCGGGAGUCUUGCCUUUCUUCAGUCGCCCCAUGGUAGCUG